GUCAACGGAACAUCAUUAGGGAGGAUAUCAUUCAUGUACAUGCUGUUAACUGUGCUAAGCUCCACUUUCAAGUUUGUACAUCAAAUGAGACAAUAACGAUGAAGGUCUUCUUUGGCAGAAAAAUACAUUGCCAGCUAAAUGGAAUUUGACCUUCCUAGAACUGUUUUGUAGUAGACUCAAGAAUCAUUAUUGAUGAAACCAGAAUCAAUCAGCAGUCUUCUCAUUUACACACUUGCUUCCAAACAACAUAAAGAAAGAGCCAAGCAUCUGCCUUAUCU